rnacentral:rRNA from 1 species
AUUGAACGCUGGCGGCAUGCCUUACACAUGCAAGUCGAACGGUAACAGGUCUUCGGAUACUGACGAGUGGCGAACGGGUGAGUAAUACAUCGGAACGUGCCCGAUCGUGGGGGAUAACGGAGCGAAAGCUUUGCUAAUACCGCAUACGAUCUACGGAUGAAAGCAGGGGACCGCAAGGCCUUGCGCGGACGGAGCGGCCGAUGGCAGAUUAGGUAGUUGGUGGGAUAAAAGCUUACCAAGCCGACGAUCUGUAGCUGGUCUGAGAGGACGACCAGCCACUCUGGGACUGAGACACGGCCCAGACUCCUACGGGAGGCAGCAGUGGGGAAUUUUGGACAAUGGGCGAAAGCCUGAUCCAGCCAUGCCGCGUGCAGGAUGAAGGCCUUCGGGUUGUAAACUGCUUUUGUACGGAACGAAAAGCCUCUUUCUAAUAAAGAGAGGUCAUGACGGUACCGUAAGAAUAAGCACCGGCUAACUACGUGCCAGCAGCCGCGGUAACAC